rnacentral:tRNA from 1 species
UUAAUUGAAGCCAAAAAGAGGCCUUUCAUUGUUAAUGAAAAAAUUGAUUAAUAAUCCAAUUAAA